GGGUUGUGAGGUUAAGCGACUAAGCGUACACGGUGGAUGCCCUGGCAGUCAGAGGCGAUGAAGGACGUGCUAAUCUGCGAAAAGCGUCGGUAAGGUGAUAUGAACCGUUAUAACCGGCGAUGUCCGAAUGGGGAAACCCAGUGCAAUUCGUUGCACUAUCGUUAACUGAAUACAUAGGUUAACGAGGCGAACCGGGGGAACUGAAACAUCUAAGUACCCCGAGGAAAAG
rnacentral:rRNA from 1 species